AGGGUGUAAACGCUGCAGACUUGGUGUUGGAGGCCCUUUGGGGGCAUUCAGUGCCGGAGAGAAGUUGUUAAGUCUGCUACUUGGGGAGUACGUCCGCAAGGAUGAAACUUAAAGGAAUUGGCGGGGAGCACGCAACGGGAGGAGCGUGCGGUUUAAUUGGAUUCAACACCGUAAAACUCACCAGGGAAGACUGUUACAUGAAGGCCGAGAUGAAGACUCUGCUAGAUUUUCAGAGAGGUGGUGCAUGGCGUAGACGUCU
rnacentral:rRNA from 1 species